AUCCUAUUCUCAUUGACGAUGCAGAAGCGGCAGACAGUGACGACGGUUUUAUUAUCGCUGAUCUAAAAGACGAGUCAGAUUCCGACGUUAGCAUCCGUAUCGUCUCGACUUCUCCCGACGCAGCUCAUCGGAUAUACAGCGCCAUGGAUGUCCUCCCGUUGCGGCAAGGCGAUACAGUGGGACUUACUGCUGAGCAAUUUCGCGACGACGAGCUUGAAGAAGACCUCAUUGUAAAUAGCUCUACGAUGGAGUCAGUUGUUGACGUCGCAGAUACGGACGAUGUCCACGAAGGCCAGCUCUACAAGACGCAAAGCGACUUCAAACGAGCUCUCAAAGCAUACGCAAUGAAAAGAGGUUUUGAGUACGCACCGACGAAAUGCAACGACCAUAAGAUAAUCGCACGAUGCCGUAUCUCAGAUUGUCCUUGGAGAAUAAAGGCGCGUUAAGUACCAGGAAUUGCUCAAUGGUGGGUGAAGAAAUUUGAUUCGCAACACACUUGUAGCAGGGCAAUAGGGGGAUUGGGCCACAGGAAUUGCGAUGCGGCUUUUAUAGCAGCAUUUGUUAGGGAGCAGGUGGUGGCAAACGAGAAAUACACACCGAAGAUGGUUCGAACCGAGAUUCUUCGGCAGCACGGCGUAAAAAUUUCAUACUGGAAAGCCUGCCGGGCCAGAGAAUUGGUCCUUCAAGAGGUGCGCGGUGAUUUUGAGGGCUCGUUCGCUCUACUUCCCUCGUACAUGCAAAAGUUGAGGAGUGGAGAUGCGGAAACAUGUCUCCAAUUACUUUACCAGGUUGAGGGUCAUUUUCACCGUUUUUUCUGGGCAUUCGGUGCAGUGAUUCGAGCAUUCAGGAAGCACUGCAGGCCACUGAUUGGUUUGGAUGGAACCUUCCUAACUGGUAAGUUUAGAGGUUGUCUGUUGACGGCGUCAUGUAUUGAUGGGAAUAACUGCAUAUUGCCAUUGGCGUGGGCAGUUGUUGAAGGUGAAAAUCGCUAUUCCUUGCACUAGUUUCUGGAACAGUUACGGGAUGGCGUCGUCGGUGAUCGCGACUCUAACAGAGCAAAUAGUGUACUUACUAUUGUUUCCGACCGCCAAAAAAGAUUGAUUGAUGCUGUAUCUGAUGAUUUUUCGGAUGCAGCUCAUAGUUAUUGCAUUUACCAUCUGUCUACCAAUCUCCUGCACGCGCCAAAGAAUACACCUGCGUGGAGAAGAUUUUGGGCUGCGGUGCGUGCAUACACUGUUGCGGAGUUCAACGAACACAUUGAGAAGAUGAAGGAGUUGAACCCCGAACAGUACAAGUAUGUGGUCAAUCUUCCUCGGCAUAUGUGGGCUACCCAUUGCUUCCUGGGAAGGCUUUAUUCCAUGCUUACUUCCAACUGUGCCGAGACGAUAUAGUGUAAUUCGACAUUUAAAGGGCAUUCCAAUUACCUACCUCGUCGAGGAAAUACGAAAGAAAACAGCUUGUUAUUUUUACCAGAGGAAAAUAAUGGGGAGAAUAUUACCAGUGUAGUAACACCCUAUGCAGAAAAGAUAUUAGGGAGCUCGAGGGAAACGUCCCGCUUUUACACGCUGAAUCCUUCGACCGAUGUCCUCUUUCAGGUAAUUGCAGCCGAUCGUACGGAUGUUGUGCAUCUUUCCAAAAAGACAUGUUCCUGCAAGCGAUGGGACAUUGACGGCAUUCCAUGUAAUCACGCCAUGACAGUAAUUUCAUUUAGGCUACGGGAUCCGUAUGAUUUUGUCGAGGACUGGUUUAAGACCUCAACUUAUCGUGCAACCUACAACGAUUGCGUCCCCCCCACAAGAGGCAAAGAGCAAUGGCCUGCAAUACCAAGUAACGUUGUUUCGCCGCAGCCGCCAAACGUCCGCAUACAACCGGGCAGAAGAAAGGUUUCGCGGCGAGAGUCUAUUGCUAACGACUUAUAAAGAAGCGAUGCCAGAAUUGCCAGAGAUGGAGGCACAACAAAAGGUCAUGCAAGAACCCUCCUGUGGCUAGUGCAAACCAGCCGCCCGCGACGACAUCCGCGGGCGCACCGCAGGAAACAUCGGAAAAUCCAUACGUCUUAUUGUGAUAGUUCAAGGCUAAUGUUAAUAGUGAACAUAUAGGAUUAAGUAAAUUUUUGUAAUAGUAUAAAAUAGAGGAUAACAGUUCAACAUAUUUAAAAAAUAGUGUAACGAGGAUCUCAAAAUUUUUACUGUUUAAGUGAGGUUGCACUGAAACGAGGCAACGGAUGCACUAUUAUAGCGAUAAUUGCACCAUUCUACUGCAGUAGAACAUUCCCGUUGCACUAUUAUCCCUGGCGCACAGAGGCUAAUUCGACACGACGUCUGAAUAGUCGGUUUAUCUUCUCGAGACAGUUUCGAUAUACCCACCGGUGUCUCUUCGAGCGCCGAAGAGACGCUAUAAUGUACACGUUAGUGUUUGCUAUCAGGUUUAUAAUUUAUUAGGUCAGUCGAAGAGGCAGCGGUGGGUUGGUGAGGUGACGAUUCGUUUUGUUUAAAUAUCGGUUCUUCAGAUGCAUUCCCCAUUACGGAGACAGUGGUGUUCGUGAAGGAAGUGAAGAUGACAACGGCAUUCCCGGUAAGAGGAAGCGCAGCGCUUCCCCUCCGCAGCAGCGCUUCCCCUCCUACGGGGAACGUCGUUUGUCGCCUUCGACUCGUUCACAAAUAUUGGCCUUGCUUUAACCUCCUCGCCUUUACGUAGAGAAGAUUCGCACUAUCUGUAGUGUUUUAUUUGCUAGGAGCCCAUUGGCCCUCCUCUCAUACAAUUUCUUAAUUUCUUGCAGAUUUUUAUUCUUAUCGUUGGAUUCUAAUAUUUUUCUGUCUGUACUGUCUGUUUCAUGGUAUAGCGGAGCUCCAAAUUGCCCAAAGCAAAUGAAACAUUCCAGAUAGUGCGAAUCAACCUUAACACCUCGUUGCUGGAUCGAUCGUACCCUUCCGAUUGAGCCUCCUCCUCCUCCUAGCAGUCUCCUUCGGCAGUCUCCUUUGGCCAAUACCUGUUUGCGUCGGCUAUGUGAUUGUGGAUUUGCAGAUAAACUUCGAUGAUUAUAUAAUCAAUCUUAUGAAGAGAUUGUUAUAGUUGAUGUAAUAGAAGGUUGCAUUGUGAUAAAAUCCUGUUUGUAUUUUAUUAAGUACUAUAACAUCGUGUAAUCGGCUUUACAGAUAAUGUAAUUCUUGUUCACAGA